UUGUCCGGCAUUAUUGGGCGUAAAGAGCUUGUAGGCGGUUUGUCGCGUCUGCUGUGAAAAUCCGGGGCUCAACCCCGGACUUGCAGUGGGUACGGGCAGACUAGAGUGUGGUAGGGGAGACUGGAAUUCCUGGUGUAGCGGUGAAAUGCGCAGAUAUCAGGAGGAACACCGAUGGCGAAGGCAGGUCUCUGGGCCACUACUGACGCUGAGAAGCGAAAGCAUGGGGAGCGAACAGG
rnacentral:rRNA from 1 species